AUUAAUUGCAUACAGAUUUUCGCAAAUAUAGUGAAUUUCAAAUAUAUUCCUAUAGCCUCCGUUUGGUUGGGGGUUAAGGGGUGGAAUAACCCCUUAACCCCCAUUUUAUCCCCAAAUACUUUUAAAAAUAGGUGAGGUUAGUUAACCCACCUCAAAUGGAUUAUCCCGGGUUAGCUAACCCCAUCUAACCCCACCAAACUCCAACCAAACACUAUUUUCUAUUCAUAAUAACCCACUAUCCUUCUUAUUCCACCUACUCCAACCAAAUACUAUUUUUCACUAUCCUGGACUAACUCCAACCCCCAACCAAACACAAAAAUACUCUAACCCCACCUUAAUCCUAAACUUAACUCUAUCUCUGGAAUAACUGGAAAUGUGAAUCAAUUAGGAUUCGAACUUGGGUCUCGGGUACCAACCACCAAGCUCUUUACCGCUUGCUUUAGGGACGGUCGGUUCAACUUUCAUAAGUUAUUCUUACAAAAGUCCUAAUAUUUUCAGAUAUGUCUCUCUGGUUUGUUACUGUUAGAGAACUGUUAGAAAACUAUUUAUAUUUCCAAUUUUGCCAUCAUAAAUAUGUUCCUCUAAAAGAUAUAACAGUAUAAUAUAAGAGGGGUUGAAAUGUCAAAAAUUAACUAACCUAAAGUAUUUAUCUUAUAGUUAACUUAAUUUUUCUAACGGAUUCUAACGGCGGGGACAUAUCUGAAAACAUUAGGACUUUGCAGGAAUAAUUUAUGAAAAUUAAAAUUUACAGAAAUAUAUUUAUAAUUCACUAUAUUUACAGGAACCUGUAUGCAAUUAACUCUUUUUAAUUGAAAUAUAGUAUUUUAUAAAAAAUAAAAAAAAAUUUCAACUUUUCGUCCGUUUGGUUCUAACCAAACACCCACUCAACAAUAAAACGACACUAGAAGUCCACUGGGCUCGGCCGAUGCGUCCGCGGAGUUCCGACCCGAUAGAGUGGAUUAUAGCUCAAAAUAGGCCCAAAUAGUUAAGGCCCAGCCCAUAAAGGGCCCAACCCAAAGCUUCUUCUACUCACCUAAUUAUAUUGUAAGUAAAAAAAGAAAAAAGAAAAAAAAAGAAAAAGAAAGGAACAAUUUGUCAAUCAAAUAUAAAACAUUAAUGCAAGUUUAGGCUCUCCUAUUAAAUUUUAGCUGUUAUAAGAAACAAUCUUUUGAAUUUCCAAGAUAAAUGAAGGAAUUGUUUCCACAUCCUUACUUAUGUGGUAAAAAACCAUGUUUGCUUUAAUAUUAGCACCCAAAUGUUUGUCUAAUUUAGAAUGGAAUGAUAAAAUUGCAAUAAUAAGCUACCCCAGGAGCCACAUGAAAAUUACUUAAUUUGGCAUGUCACUCAUCAUAAAUAACCUUCUUCCUACAAAUGAGUAGCUCUUAAGAUUUCUCUUUGCCACCCACAUGUGAGGAUAUCAUCAGUGUUCUCAAAAUCGAGUUGAACAGCGAUCCGAAAAUAUUAAUAAAUCAGGGGUCACUGAGUAAACCAGUGGGUGGUCAACCGCUAUUUGAACCAGUAAUAUCGACAUGGCGUC
rnacentral:lncRNA from 1 species